rnacentral:rRNA from 1 species
UACGGAGGGGGCUAGCGUUGUUCGGAAUUACUGGGCGUAGAGCGCGCGUAGGCGGACCUGCAAGUCGGGGGUGAAAGCCCGAGGCUCAACCUCGGAACUGCCUUCGAUACUGCGGGUCUCGAGUCCGGGAGAGGUGAGUGGAAUUCCUAGUGUAGAGGUGAAAUUCGUAGAUAUUAGGAAGAACACCAGUGGCGAAGGCGGCUAACUGGUCCAGAUCUGACGCUGAGGUGCGAAAGCGUGGGGAGCAAACAGG